UGGACAAACCUGAGCAACAGCUGAAGACUACAGUUGGCAAUUAUAACAUGACAUUUUUAUUAUGCAGUCCAAACCUCACUCUAGGUGUUAUGGGAUUUUAGAAGCCGUCUACAUGCAGAAAACAAACCUUCAUGUAUGCAUGAAAAGAUUUGAUGAGAAAUUUCAGAUGCUUUUGGAAAUUGAAGUGUUUUAUGGCAACAUCAGUCCAUCUUAAUAAGCUAAAGAGUCAGCAGUUGGUAUGAACAAAGCCUUUUAACAAACAUAAGGGCUGGUCUCCAGUCUUAUGUCACCUUUUUUUCACCUCUGUUAUGUUUAUUCUUCAGGAGCCCCAACUGGCCCUCAUUUAAAAGAAGACAACUCCCACUGGCAGCUUCAUGCUCAUUACUACCCCCCUCUGCUACGUUCAGCCACAGUGAAAAAGUUCAUGGUGGGGUAUGAGAUGCUCGCCCAGGAGCAAAGGGAUCUAACUCCAGAACAGGCUGCUGAGAAACUAAGAAAUCUUCCAGAGGAGCACUAUAAAACGAGAGAACAGUGAAAAAGAAGCACAAAGGAAAUGAAGCAAUCCCAUCAAUUCUUUAGAAGCCUUCCAACUGAAAUAUCCCUUUAAGAAAACAGAGAACAAUUGUUCAAGUGCAAGUACAGUCGCAAAGUUGCACCAACAAGGACGUGAUGCUUCACCCACACCACUGCACCUGGCGAACGUUCGCUCUCUGGAAGACAAAACAGAUGAUUUCUCUCAGCAUUAGAAACUGCCAAAUCUGCUGCAAAUCCACUGGAAUCUGUUUCUUGUGCUAGAAACUAGUUGGUAACUAAAGCUUUUUGACAUGGUUUAUUAACCUUCUGGAAGCUCCUUUUAAAUGGAGAAGCCAUGAUUUUAUGUUGUUUAUGCCAAGAAGGUGGAAACUGAAAUUGUGACUUAUUGGACCAGAAAAUAUUUUCCAAUGUUGGUGAGCCUGUGCAAACUGUACCUUUAGUUUUCCAUCAUUAGCUGACCAAUGUGGCACCCGGUUUUGGCAAUAGCUCAUGUACAGUAAAGUCCAAAUUGGUAUGUGGUUGAAAUGGUGCAAACGAUGCAACAAUCAAAGUGGUUUAAAUCUUUGUUGCUCUAUAUUGAUGCUUACUUUAAAUUUUAGGAAGACAUUUUAAAACCCUUGUUACCUAAAUGAAUGAUUUGCCAAUUGUAUCAAAAAAUAAACAAGUGUACAAAAGACA